GAACAUUCCAUGUUCUAGAGUCUCUAACAUGUGCAGACCCUGAUGAGGAGCAAGAAUGCCCCCUCUCACCCAGCCUUGUCAGGGCCAAGUGAAAGAAGCCCGGGCAGGCCUGGGGAAGCUGCCCAAGGAGCCUCAGUAGUCAAUGCUGGCAUCGUUUCUCCCUCAGCCCCUGUCUCUGUCACUUUGAAGCUUUCUACUGGUUUCCUUUGAGUCCCCUCAGCUCCCCAGUCAGAUCAAGGAAGAGCUGGUUGUUGCUUUCACAGACUUCAGGGGCAAGCAGAUCUGAGUACCUCGGGGGUCAAACAGACCUGCCCCAACCACAGCAUUGAAGAGGAGAUCCAUUUCCUAAAAAUGGGGGGAGAUGGCUAUUGGUGGGAUGCCCUAUUCACAUCUGUCUCCACUGCAUGUCUACAGACGGCUCCCUGUAGUCUGGGAGUAGCGUUCCCUGGCUUCUCUGAGCUUCCUGCGGUCCACGAAAGGCUGUUUCCCUUGACAGAAGCCUUUCCUCUUCUUCCAUAUCUGGUUGACUGCAUGUCCUUUGGAGCCAGCCCUCUGGACUGAGGACUUGAAUCUCUGAUUAAUCCGCCCAAUACUCAGCUCCAUGGCCUCAGUGGUGUCCAUGAGACUCUUGACACGGGACCUAUUCACAAGGGAAGGCACCUCCCCACAGAUGCACCUGAAAGCCGUGGACCCUGUGAUUCUCAGGAAUUCGGCUGACUGAUGGAGCAAUCCUUCCCACGCGGGUGAAGGUGGAGGACUCCCCUUGACCCAGACACACGGGUAUUCCGUGAGUUUCUUGACGGUGCCAGUUCCUCUGAAGUAUGGAUUUUACUCCUUGGUGUUGUCUGAUUAGAUAAACUCUCCAAGAUAAAGAUCCGGAUAUAUUGGCAAGGGACCUGGCUUUUAGAAAACACAUAUUCCUCAGAUUUAAAGUUGUAGGCCCUCUUUUCUCUCCAGUGGUAUGCACAGAAACAUUAGUUGGAGCACGGCAGUUUGUG
rnacentral:lncRNA from 1 species